ACAUCUAAGCAACAGCCAAAGGGCCUUAAACACCACAGAAGACCUAAUCACCAAAUCAAGUCAAGAACAACCAUUAGCGGUUAGGCAUAUUAUUGUCAGAGUGUACUGUCAAGAGAUGCUUUGAUAAAUAGAAAAUACAAAGGGUUUAGAGCAAUAUGUCACGUCUUAAGCAAGUGAGCAGGAAUCAGAAACAGAAGUCACAUCUACAGAUCCGAAAGGUUUAUUCGCAGGCAACGUUAAUCACACAAGAUUCAUCAGGGCAAUCCGGAAGGAGGGAAGGCGAGGUAGUGAGGAGGUGAACACUCUCACCACCCACCAGGGACUGAACACCAGGGAAGACCUGUACAGAGGGAAACGAACAAUUAUCAGCUAGAAGUCGCAGGGAACGUGAUCAGAUAAUGCUGUGGGAGGCCAACAAUCCAGCAAAGAAUGACUGUCAGCCACCGCAUUAAGAAGGAGAUGGUGACUGAUCAUCAGGCACAGGUGUAUCGCCACAAGAGGGAGCCAUCGAUCAAAUUUUUAAAAACUUCCUACACUUUUGUCUACAGGAUAAUGAACAGGAGUUCACUUUGUAAAGUGUUGAGAAGCUGUUGACUUUGCAGUGGCUGGAUUUGCUGGUGGUCAUAGAGCAGCGCUUCUGCCCUGGGCCCCGGAUGGGAAUGACCAAGUGAAAAAUAAUGAAUUAAACUAACUUGAAUGAAUACAAUUAUUCAAAACUCAGGAUCAAUCUUUAUAUUUUUGAUUUGAAUAAAUAAAACUGUCAGGUGUGGUGUGUGAACUUUCAGCUUCUGAAGUGGGGCAUGUCUUCUAGAGAAAUAGUUAAUUUAUAAUCAGCAAUAUAAAUUUCUGUACAUAUGGUAAUAAAUAGGCUAGUUGCUGAUGCUGUUAUAAAUAUGCAUCCAGAGCUACAGCAUGAACUCUUCUAGAUGUCAAGAAUAAAGUCUAAAUAUUAAUAAUUUGCCCCAGAUCUAAUCAACUCCCAUAAGUCGUUAAAGCCUUUGAAAAUAACAUCAUGUUACUGACUGGAAGUGCAACGUUUGCAUUGCAUUCAGCUGCUUGGGUCCUCUGGGUGUCAUUCAAGCAGCAGAUCUGCCUGUAAGGACUUUGGUUACUUCACACUGCUUGCCACACAUACAUUUUGAAUGCU